rnacentral:sRNA from 1 species
CCGGGAACCCUGACAGCACUUGGCUGCUGACAAACAACCUGCUCCGUGGAGCGCCUGAAACACCAGUCUUUGGGGCCAGUGCCUCAGUUUCAAUCCAGGUAACCUUUAAAUGAAACUUGCCUAAAAUCUUAGGUCAUACACAGAAGAGACUCCAAUCGACAAGAAGCUGGAAAAGAAUGAUGUUGUCCUUAAACAACCUACAGAAUAUCAUCUAUAACCCGGUAAUCCCGUAUGUUGGCACCAUUCCUGAUCAGCUGGAUCCUGGAAGUUUGAUUGUGAUACGUGGGCAUGUUCCUAGUGACGCGGACAGAUUCCAGGUGGAUCUGCAGAAUGGCAGCAGCGUGAAACCUCGAGCCGAUGUGGCCUUUCAUUUCAAUCCUCGUUUCAAAAGGGCCGGCUGCAUUGUUUGCAAUACCUUGAUAAAUGAGAAAUGGGGACGGGAAGAGAUCACCUAUGACACGCCUUUCAAAAGAGAAAAGUCUUUUGAGAUCGUGAUUAUGGUGCUCAAGGACAAAUUCCAGGUGGCUGUAAAUGGAAAACAUACUCUGCUCUAUGGCCACAGGAUCGGCCCAGAGAAAAUAGACACUCUGGGCAUUUAUGGCAAAGUGAAUAUUCACUCAAUUGGUUUUAGCUUCAGCUCGGUUUUACAAAGUACCCAAGCAUCUAGUGUGGAACUGACAGAGAUAAGUAGAGAAAAUGUUCCAAAGUCUGGCACGCCCCAGCUUGUGAGUAUUUUUGCCUGGGUUAUUUCAUGUGGAAUAUUUUAUAAAGUUGCAUAGAAAAUGAACAGUUUAAACCGUGGAGGGCAGCUUCAUUCAUUCCAUUCCUUACUGUAGAACUGUUUCCCUACAGCCUAGUAAUAGAGAAGGAGACAUUUCUAAAAUCGCACCCAGAACUGUCUACACCAAGAGCAAAGAUUCGACUGUCAAUCACACUUUGACUUGCACCAAAAUACCACCUAUGAACUGUGUGUCAAAGGUUUGAAGAGCCCCAAAUUUUCUUAACUCUAUAUAAAAAUUAAGUUGUAAUGAGCUGUUACGAGUAACCUGUAUCCACAACAGAAGCCCAAAGCAGCCCCCUCUGCAUUUGUGUGCCGUCCCUGGACAGAUUCGAGAGGCAACCAGGCCUGCCUCUGAGCCAUUCCUGUGUAUUUCCUCAGCACCUCCCUGCUUGGCUGCUUCCCCUUCAGGCAGAACACAGUACUGCCUCAGACCCCAGGCACAGGGGGCCUUCCUGGCGUGUUUCACUCAUACAGAGGGCAUCGGGUCCCACCCUGUCACUCAUUUCAUCGUCUAAAAUGUAAUCAUGAGUGUUUGCUUCGAGCCAGGGACAGUGCUGCUGCAGGGGACCCAGCUGGGACCAAGGCAGACUGUCUCUCCCCUCCUGGGAUUUACAGGGUCAUGGCUCUGAAACAUUCUGUAGUGUUCUUUGGACACGAGUUUUCCCUGGAGAUCGCUUUCUGCAGGCCUCUUGGUCCUGACUGUGGCUUCUUUUCAGAGCCUGCCAUUCGCUGCAAGGUUGAACACCCCCAUGGGCCCUGGACGAAC